rnacentral:rRNA from 1 species
UACAGAGGGGGCAAGCGUUGUUCGGAAUUACUGGGCGUAAAGGGCGCGUAGGCGGCCCUUCUAAGUCGAACGUGAAAUCCCCGGGCUCAACCCGGGAACUGCGUCCGAUACUGGAAGGCUUGAAUCCGGGAGAGGGAUGCGGAAUUCCCGGUGUAGUGGUGAAAUGCGUAGAUAUCGGGAGGAACACCAGUGGCGAAGGCGACUACCUGGCCUGUUCUUGACGCUGAGGCGCGAAAGCUAGGGGAGCAAACGGGG